AGAAGCAGGCUGAGAAGAUGCAGCCUUCAAAGCUUAUAUUCAAGAUGGGGAAGGGGAUCUGUGCAAGGAGGAUAUUUCCAGUGUGAGGCUCAGAGCCUGGAGGGACCCUCUCCUGCCAACACUCAGGGUGAGUCUGCGGGUCAGCUGCUAGUUUUCAUACAACAGGAAAAGGAGAAGGGGGAUUGCUGCCUUUCACCACUGCUACCCUGAGCCAGCUCAUCCUUCUAGCUAUUUCUGUCUAUGCUUAUCUAUAGCAUCAUCCCUCUUGUGCUUGUGUACCUGCCAAGCAUUCAAAACAGGCACUGCUGUGGCAGCCUCUUUCCUUCUCUCCAGCCUGGAGGAUAAAUGACUGGAUUGUUUUUUUAAUUUUAUUUUUAAUUGUUUCUCUGCAUGAAGAAUUUACGGUGGGAAAGCUAAGCUGGAGAAAUGCUUUCUGGAGUGGGUGGCCAGAUUGGCAGAUCUCUGCUUGUUCUUAGCCCCUAGAGAAGUCCUGCAGCCUGACCCUUGCUGGGCUCACUCUGCUCUUUUUUGAAAGCGAUGGUUUCUCGGAGUGAGAUGUGGUCUCGGGUAAAAACAAACAAAGUUUGGAUGCGAGAGAGAAGAUCUGGAUCUGUCUUGCCCACCAGGGGACCCAGAGCAGAAAGCUGAACGCUUGGGUUGGCUGGAUUAACUGGCUCUCAUUCAGAGGGAACUUGGCAGAUCUAUUCUGCUUUUGCUGAACCUCUCUACAGCACAUCAUAAAGAUUUCCUUGGUCCAGAAGCUGCAGAAAAGACAACUGAGCAGCAGAAAAAUGUGACUCUGAGAAGAGACUUCAAGACUUCUGAUGAUGAAUUUUCUACUGAUCAGUUCUAAUUUAAAUGUAUAACUGAAGCAUGCAUAAAAGUUAACGUGAUAGGGAAAAAAAAACCUUCUCAUUAAUUAGAACU